GGGGGGGAAGCCAUGAUAAAGCCAGAGAGAGCAGCUAAACAUCUGCAACUCUCCCUCUCUCUCUCUCGAAACACAUGGACACCCUACAAACUGCCUGCCUCUGGAGGAAAGCUCUAUCAGCCUCUAGAUGAUCCUUGAGUGAUGGCUUCAUCCAAGCUGCCUUAUGGAAUGAAAUGGAUUAGACCUUGUGAGCACCAUCUGAGGACUACCCAAGGGCCUGAUAAAAAUAGGAGACGCACUAUCUUCAUCAAGAACCUUGAAUUUUCACACCCCAAAGCACUAAACCAGCUCUGCUACUCCAUCAGAACCUCUGGAAGAGGAUUCUAUAUACAACCAACCAACCUAAACCUCCAGGGACUUCUCCAGUAUACAGGCUGUGUUAUACAGAAGAGCUGUCUGACUGACUAUAGACACCGUUCUCUUGAAUAUACAGUGAAUCUGAUCAGAAUGUAUGAGACGUCACACUGGCUUGGAUCACAAGCAUCUAGCCCAGUACUGAGUCUCUCCCCGUGGUACAAAAUAAAAGCAGGGCCUACCUUGACUGACCUGUCCCCAACCCCUCUUACCUGACAGCUUUCACAUUUAGAGGCUUAGGAUGUUACCAUUUGGAGGUUGCAUCCAUAAUCAUUAUGUUUAAUAUCCACCAAUGGACAUACCCUCCAUGAAUUUGUCCCAUCUUCUUUUCAACCCAGUUAAAUUGUCAGCCUCUAGAAAAUACAUUCAAAAAACCCAAGUAAGCAUAGCGACCCCACUUGCACAUUUGGUAGAUUUUGUCCAGUGUACUCACUCUUAUC